AGAAAGCAAUUGUGAAGUAGAUCCUCCAGGUCCUUCAACACCUGAUUAGAAUUAUUUGGGAAGGGUGUGUGACAUUUUGCUAGUCUCACGGUGGUCUCCCAGCACGGGCUUCUGAUGACAUCAGCAGGGGUUCUUACUUUAGCACUGACCUCAUUGAACAGAGCCAGCAGGAAUGUGUAAAGGUUUGCAAGGAAGAGAGCAAAUAUAUGUCCCAGCUAUCACUUGAGGGCGAUACAUGGAUGGUAUUUCUCCAGCUCGCCGAUGGUCUCAAAGAGCAUUGGACCCACCAGACCCAACAGAGACUUAAUGAUCUCAAGCUGAGAUACAGGGUGUUUACAUCAUUAGCUGGGCUUUUACACAUAUUGUAAUAUUU